UACGUAGGGUGCGAGCGUUAAUCGGAAUUACUGGGCGUAAAGCGUGCGCAGGCGGCGCGUUAAGACAGGUGUGAAAGCCCCGAGCUUAACUUGGGGAAUUGCGCUUGUGACUGGCGUGCUGGAGUGUGGCAGAGGGAGGUGGAAUUCCACGUGUAGCAGUGAAAUGCGUAGAGAUGUGGAGGAACACCGAUGGCGAAGGCAGCCUCCUGGGCCAGCACUGACGCUCAUGCACGAAAGCGUGGGAGCAAACAGG
rnacentral:rRNA from 1 species